GGUGUUAUAUAUUAAUAUAAAUGAGAUUGAUCCUGUCUUUUGUUUAUAAUGAUUGGUUAUUAGAUUAUAUUAGAUACAAGUUUUUGCGGGGGCUAAUUCUUGUCUUAAGGAUAAAUUUAAUAGCAUAAUUGUAGUUUUUAAUAUUAAGUAUUAUAAAUUUAUAUACUUAGUUAAUUUAUUUAGAGCUGUUUAAGGCUGUGCCAGCAUACGCGGUUACACAUUCAGCUCAUAUCAAUCAUUUUUGGUUAAUUUAAUUUUUAAAUUUUUGAGUAAUAAUUUGUUUAUUUUAAGUGAAAUUUAAUUUUUAAUUAUAUUCUUUGGUUUAAGAUUAAUAGAAAUUUGGAAUUAAAACUAGGAUUAGAUACCCUAUUAUUCUAAAUGUAAAAAUUUUAUCAUAGUAUUAAUAGUUAAGAUCUUUAAAUUAAAAGGAUUUGGCGGUAAUUUAGUCUUUUCAGAGGAACCUGUUCUGUAAUCGAGAAUCCACGUUUGAUUUAACUU
rnacentral:rRNA from 1 species